rnacentral:lncRNA from 1 species
GAUUAGGAGGAACCAGACCCUGAUAAGGGAAGAAUGUGGAUCUGUAGUUGAGGGAGAAAUGUUAAGGAGGUGUGGUUUGCUUUGUAAAUAGCAACCAUCAUGAGACACAGAAAAACAGAGAUGCGUGCUAUAAGACACAAUGCCAGACACCAUUUUCUUCCAUCUUCCCUUUUUAUUUUAUUUAUAUUCAAAUUUCCAAAAACACCAGUUUUAAAAAUAAUUAAAUGGACACGAAUAUUCAGUCUUUUAAAGUGUGAUAGACAAGAUUUUAAAAGUUAUUGUGAAAACAUUUGUUGGGUACAUGGAUAUAUAUUUGAGUUAAGAACGAAUGACCUUGCUCUUUCUUUACCCCAAUAGACACUCCAUGCCAUAAGGGAGCGUGCCCUCCCGUCCUGCCCUCCUGGCUCUGGGCAUGUGGAACCAUCCCUUCUAUUGGUUAUUCAGAACUGUCUCAAGGACUCAUGUUGAAACCUGAGCCUGCAGGGUCUCUGAAAGUUUAGGAAAUCCUCAGAUGCCUUGGAAAUUCCCCACCUUGUCAGAUAAAUCUCUUAAAAGUGAUGGGCCACUUUGAGCCUUACUGUUUCUCAGUCUGCUGAAUCCAUUUAACAGGGGGCUGCAGAGGGCAGGAGUCUGGCUGAGCACAAAUCUUUACAAUCCGUGGUUUGGGAACAGGAUAUGGUUAUGCUACACUUUGUCAAGAAUUUGGGGCUUCUGGGUUCAGAAAAUAUGCUCAAAACAUGCCUGAAGGUGUUUUGGAGCAAAUAUUUGGAGAUUCCUUAUUUUGUUCUAGAAACUGCUCUGGAAUUUGGGGAAUACAGUUCAAGGGACCCAGUAAACCUGCUUGGACUCCUGAAUAACCAGACUGGACUUAAAUCGGGAUCUGCCAACUGCUGGUCCACAAUUAUAAAAAAUAUGUUUUAAAAUGUCGAAAUGACAAGAGUAUGAGAAAAAGUAGCAGUCUUAAUGUCCAAUCCCUACAUAUCCCUGAUUCCUACCCACCAGAGGCAACCUCUUUGAAUUCUGAUCUUCUGGGAUUUCUUUCCCAUUGUUAAAUGUACUUAUGUUGACUUCUCUUCGGUUCAAAAUUUGAGAUAUAAUCUAUUAAAUUCCUUCUACAGAAAAUGAGACCAUCAUUUAGCUCUCUUUAAAACCAACAAGUGGAAAAAUUCGUUUCACGCAGAUAUUUAUCUUUCAACUCAUCCUCCCAAUUUGGUUAUUCCAUAAUUUUUACUAAGAUGAAAAUUCAGUGCUUAUAUUAUUGUGACUUCAUAUGCAUUAUUUACAGCUGAAUCAGGUAAUAUCCUUUUUGUGUAAUUUUUCAUUUCUCUUGGAAUUCGUUAACAAUUGAUGCUUACAUUUCUAUGUAUUUUUCAUUAAGUCAUCCUCAACAUUUGCAGAACUCUGAAAGCUUAGGUAAUCAUUCACUCAGUUUUAAAAAUUUGUUUAAUUGUUAGUUUGCUUGAUUUGUUUUUUAAGUUUCCCUCCUGGAGUAUUCUACCUGGGCUGCAGUUUGGGCUGCUUGCUCUCCUUAUCAGAUUCAUCUUAGGACUUCCCUUCAUUCUCAUCCUUAGACUUUUUUUUUUUUUUUUUUUUUUUUUUGAGACAGAGUCUCACUCUGUCAUCCAGGCUGGAGUGCAGUGGUGCGAUCUCGGCUCACUGCAGCCUCCGCCUCCCAGGUUCAAGCGAUUUUCCUGCCUCAACUACACGCCACCAACUCUGCUAAUUGUUUUUUUUUUGGUGUUUUAAUGGAGAUGGGGUUUCACCAUGAUGGCUAGGCUGUUUUGAACUCCUAACCUCAAAUGAUCCACUUGCCUCAGCCUCCCAAUGUGCUGGGAUUACAAGCCUGAGCCACCAUCCCCAGCUUUCAUACGUAGAUUUUUCUGCUGCUCUCCCCUUUGUUGGAUCUCUUGCUUCUCAGGUCCCAUGAUUUCUGUUUUCUUGACUUAUUUCCUUGUGAGAGAGCAGCUUCCAAGAAGAGGUGCAUUGCAAGUAAUCAUUUUGAGACUUGACAUACAUUAUAAUGAUUUUAUUUACUCUCACACUUCGUUGAUUGUAUGAUAGAUAUCAAAGUCUAAGCUAGAAAUGAAUUCCCCUCAGAAUUUUAAAUAUAUGGCCCCAUUAUCUUUUAACUUCUAAGACUGUGUUAUUUACCAUUAUUCUAACUGAAGUAACUCAGGAAUGGAAAAUCAAAUAUUGUGUGUUCUCACUUAUCAGUGGGAGCUAAGCUGUGAGGAUGCAAAGGCACAGGAAUGAUAUAAUGGACUUUGGGGUUUCUGGGGAAAGGGCGGGUGGGGGUGAAGGAUAAAAGACCAUACAUUGGGAACAGUGUACACUGCUGAGGUGAUUGUGGGUGCAUCGCAAUCACAGAACUCACCACUAAAGAACAUAUUCACGCAACCAAACACCACCUGUUCCACCAAAACUAUUGAAAUAAAAGUUAAAAAAAAAAAGAUUUCCUUCUUCAGUCUUAAAAAUAUUAAAUAAAUAUAUUAAAAAAGAAAAUUGUGUCAUUUAGUGGCAUUUUGUCAAGAAGAAUAAAUACUUGUGUUCAAACUCCAAUAUUUAACCUUUUUAGUUAUACUACAUUGAUUUCUUGUUCCCUCGAGUGCUUUGUACCUGCUCAAGUAUGCUUGAUUGCUUGUUAAGGCCAAGACGUAACACACUGAUUUGUGCUUCAGUGGGCAUGAAGCACAUUAUUAUUAACAUGAAUAAUAAUUUUGUUAUUUAAAAACAAUUUUUUUUUGAGAUGGAGUCUCACUUUGUUGCCCAGGUUGGAGUACAGUGGUGCAAUAUCAGCUCAUUGCAACUUCCGUCUCUUGGGUUCAAGCGAUUCCCCUGCCUCAGCCUCCCAAAUAGCUGGGAUUACAGGCGUGUGCCACCAUGCUGAACUAAUUUUUGAAUUUUUAGUAGAGAUGGGGUUUCGCUGUCUUGCCAGGCUGGUCUUGAACUUCUGACCUCAGGUGAUCCACC